rnacentral:lncRNA from 10 species
CAGAAUGCAGUGGAGGUGAUACUAUGGUCAUAAUGACCAGGGGCUGGGUCAGAAGAACUUCAGAUUGAGCCUCUUGAAACAUUUGCUCUUGGAAUUCUCCCUCUCAGGAAACUAACAGCCUGCUAUGAAGCCCAAGCCACAAAGAGAGGCCAAGAAAAUAAAAGAGACAUCAGUGUGUGAAUGACGACUUUCUGUUGCUGACUUGGAAGACAGAGGAAUUGGGUCAUGAGCCGAGGAAGGUGGGCAGCUUCUAAAAGGCGGAAAAGUGGCUGAAGUGAGAGGAAGCGAGGAUAUGGCUGACAUUCUCCAAGAAGCAGUGACUUCAGAAGAUGACUGGCAUCUUGAACUUCAGGAAAAUGCUUGGCCUUUUUAACUCUGAAAGUCUGUUUGAAACUCAGAAGAAGAAAAUUAGGUGAAUACAAAACUGCUGCCAAACUUAGAAACUUGGUUAAAUAUCCUGCAGAAAAUAUCAUGGGCUUUUCAGAGUCCAGUUAAAUAUCUACAGAUUAUAUUUCCAGUUUCAUACCUGGGGCAUUAACUCUAUUCAUUUUACUAGCUUUAGUGAAUUUUACUUCUGGAGCAUAACAUUGCAUUGAAAAUGUGUCCUCUAACCUAUGAUAUUUAUGUAUCGUUUAAUAUGAAAUUUAUGAGGUUCCAUUUCUGAUUUCCAAAUGGAUGCAAAUUAGAACACAGGAUAUUUACAUUCUUUCAUUUCUAACCCACAUACAUAAAGUUUGACUUUAAAAUGCCACUGUUCGUGUCUGUUUCAUAGAAGCUCUAGGUAUUUAUACGUCCAUUGUGUCUCUGGCACACUCUGAAUUCCAGUUUUUAAUCUAAUAUUGGGCAGGAAUUGGCUAUAAAAAUACAAUGCCAUUGAGGACAGAGCUGGAUUGCUUUUUUUCUGUUAAUUCUUGAGAACUUUAUAGUUUCUCAGGGAAGUAUAAUUUGUAACCACAUCAUCAUCUAACACUUUUCCUGUCUUUUUUGGAGAUUGACAGUUGAAAAUCUAUAAGAUCUUUUUGCAACUAAGAUCAGGAAAAA